rnacentral:lncRNA from 1 species
UCUGAACUUUGACGAAUAAUUUUUUCUUGGAAAAUCAGCACGCUGCGUUACUUCUCAGGAAAUGGAAGAGCAAUCUGGGAACCUGGAUGGUGUAGUUUCUAAAGUUGGUGCUUACUUAAGGGAGUUGAGGAUUCUUUCCAACAAAAUUAAACAUAUCUGGCAAUGAGAUAAUGAAAAUACAGACAAUGUACUAGCUAAUACUAAGAACAAAUCUUAAUUUAUACUAGUUAUUAAAACACGAGCAACACACGUCAAACACAAUAAACAGAGCAUUUUAUAUUCUCCUCAUACGGACCUGAAUUCUUUUCCAUAAGUGGUGCAGCACCCUAAGAUAUUUUACUUAUUGAUUUUAGCAAAAACAAUAGCAUGAUAUGUCAAAGCAAGAUUUAAGAGAACGAUUAAGUUACUUUGAUGGACAAUAACUUCUUUUUGACACCCAAGACUAAUCAAAAACUUAACUCUUUACAUAAUUAUAGCGACCCCUCAUCACUGGGCACGAAACGCGUAUAACACCUAGCAUGAUGUUAGAAAGACUCCCAUUAAAACAAUCUCGACAUCAGUCGUACUAACAAAAACUCAAGUGUAUAGAGUUUAAUCAAGUUAAAUUGUGUGUCGUGAACACUCCUAUAAACACAUAAUAUCAAAAGCUCGGAAAACGACCUUUUGUUUCAUGUUUUCAUGACCAAGAUCAACAAGUUAACAUCCCGACUAGCAAGCGAUAACAACAAAUAAUUUUAAUUCAUGUUUGCAUUCACCAUUUGUUGACAGUAACAAUGGAGAUGUUCAUCGCAGUAACAAAGAACGAGACAAUGAGAAGUUCAUCUCACACAAGGAAAUGGAGCAGGCCAAAGCAAAUGGGCCCAUAUUAGACCAGUCAUCAGUACCAACAACCCACAAGUCCAAAUAUUUAACUUAGACUAGAAAGUUCUUUCAUUGUUUAGCUUAGAAGAGAAGAUUCUUUAGCUUAUAUAAAUAAACAUGAUUGGCAAGAAAUAUACAGACAAGAAAAAUUCCCAAAUACUGUCUCUUAUUCUCUACAUGGUAUCAAAGCUUCUUUGAAGAUCCUCUCUUCGAAGCCUUCUUUUACCUACCAUGGCAAACACAAGUUCUGAGUCACCUUCUGCCCCUGUUGCAUCCAAAGUAUUGGACCAAAGCAGCCCUUAUUUCCUUGAUCCAUCUGAUUCACCAGGGAUGUCUUUGGUGAACUCUAUUUUUGAAUGAAUGGGUUAUGGGGAUGGAGAAGAUCCAUUCUCAUUGCUCUCUCAGCUAAAAAUAAGCUGGGAUUUAUUGAUGGAAGCUGCAAGGCUCCAGCCCUUAACAAUCCAGAUCUGCAAUCAUGGAUCCGGUGCAAUGACAUGGUUACCAGUUGGUUGCUGAAUUCACUUUCUAGAGACAUUGCUGACAGUGUGCUCUAUUCCAAAAUAGCAGAAGCACUAUGGAGGGAUCCUGAGGACAGAUUUGGCCAGGGGCCAAAUUGUAUCAACUGCAAAAGGAAAUGAGUGAGCUGUCCCAGGGAACACAUGAUAUUGCAGCAUACUACACAAAAGUCAAAGGGUCAUGGGAUGAGUUAGAUACCUUGAACACUAAAAACACCUGCUCUUGUGAGUGUGAUUGUGGUGGUAAGAUGACAAUGAGUAAAGCAAAACAAGAUAAGAGACUCAUACAAUUCCUUUGGGAUUGAAUGAAGCUUAUGGGGCUGUGAGGUGCAACAUCUUAAUUUCUCCUCUAACUUCUGUGAGUCUUGCUUACUCUCUUCUCAUGCAGGAUGAAAAACAAAGGGAGAUUACUGUCUACUCUAGCCCUGCGGGGGAUCACUCUUCAUAUUUGGUUGCUGACAGAAAUCCACCUCCUCGGUACUCUCAAAAUAAUCUGAGGAAUCAUACUCCUGAAUAUAGAUCCAAGAAGAUUGACACAUCUUUGACAUGUUCUCACUACAAGAAGGUUUGACACACAGUUGAUAAAUGCUACAGGAUCAUUGGCUUUCCUAAUGAUUUCAAGUUCACCAAAAACAAAAGGAUGCAAAACACUGUGAGGAGCAAUGUUGUUAUUCCCUCUGAUUUACCUAGUUAUUCUAGUUCUUUACCUAAUUGUGCAAAUCAAGUUGGAAGCUAGUUCACCAGUGAGCAACUUUCUCAAUUGGUUAAUAUAUUAAAUCAGGCAAAGAUCUCUCAACCAGAUGUUUCACUUGCUAAUUCUGCAGCUACAGCUGCUUGUGCUGGUAAUGGUUCAGUUUCCUGUUUACUACUCCUAAAUUCUAACCCCUGGAUUUUAGACUCAGAGGCGAGUCAGCAUAUAUGUUUUGAUGCAACAAACUUCACUACUCUCACACCCCUUAAUCAAAUCAUCAACAUCACUUUACCUAAUUCUUUUAGGGUAAAAGUAACUCAUUCAGGAACUAUUACUCUAUUUCCUGAUCUCAUUAUUCACAAUGUGCUUUUUGUGCCUACAUUCAAGCUCAAUCUCCUAUCAGUGCACAAGUUAUGCACACAAUUAGAUUGUCUAAUCAUGUUUUCUUCUACCAAAUGUGUCUUGUAGGCCCCUUCAGUAAAGAGGCCUCUGGUUCUUGGUGAAGCACAGAAUGAACUCUAUUAUUUUUUUCCUUCGAAUCUCCCGUCUAAGAGCCCUGUCAAGGAAGAUGUAGUUUCCUUUUCUAGUUCCAGUUUUUCCAUUUGUAGUUCCUUAUCUAAUUCAGUUUCAAGUAGUAAUAGUUCUGAUUUUCAUCUAUGGCAUGUAAGACUAGGGUAUUUGCCCAUUUCAUCAAUGAACAAGCUAUGUUCUUUUAAUUUCAAACGUGAUUCCAAUUUCAUUUGUGAUGUUUGUUAUCUUGCCAUGCAAACUAAAUUGCCCUUUCCACUUAGUCACAUUAAAACCAAAUCGCAUUUUGAAUUAAUUCACAUUGAGACAUGGGGUCCUUAUAAAAAUUCAACCUACAAUGGUUACAGAUACUUCCUCACCAUAGUAGAUGAUUUUAGCAGAACUACUUGCGUUAUCAGUCAUAACUUUCACCACAUUUUCCUUCCCAAUUUUCAAGAUUGUCCUCUCAAAUAACUUGAACAUUUUAGUAGCAUCAAUAGAAGAGUCACUAGCAUCACGAGAUUCAAGUAACUCAUUCCCCAUCGGUUGAUGAUUCAGGUAACACAUUCCCCAUCAGAGAAUUCACCAAAACGUUGAUCACCAUUUUCCUACUUUUGGCUGUCCAUUAUCCAUCAUAAUCGAACAUCCAUAGGGUUUCCUUUGAACCUUAUGAUCCUCAACAAUCUUGUUUGUUUCUCCACCUCUUUUGUUAGACAUGAACGCUUCAUGAUAGGUUGGAGCUUCAUUCCUAGGCCAUAUUGGCCUACUGCCCCAAUAAAUUCACGAAAGCUGUCAGUAUAAUUAACACAAUUAAUAAGGAACCCCGCGUCACACAUCCACCAUGCAAAAGCGGAUACAACACUGCCCCUUAAAAUUUUACCUUGAGGAUUCUAAAUCAAUGGGUCUACCUUAUUUUUUCAUUGGAUUGUUAUGAGUAAAAGAGAUUGAUAAGACCUUUAAUAUUGCUAGCGGUCGAUGAUCUACUCUCGCUAACUGAAGACUUCCAUUGGGAUUUUAAAGGAGGCCCCAUUGGCAUAUUAAGUUCAACUUCAUCAUCCUCCAUUUGAUCGUCAUCAACAAGAUUGACCAUUGAUUCCUCAUGCCUCAUUGAGUUUUAAACUCUUUUUUCCCGUAAAGUACUCCUUGAUUCUUCGCUAACAAAAUUCGAGACUUUUGGACAAACAACAUCUUUAUAACCACCAAUAAGAUGUUUCUUAUGAUGAAAUAUUCCAUCGUUGUGCAUCAUAUCGCCAAAAACACAUUUUAUUUUUGUGUUACUGGCAAUUGCAGUUCCAUACACCCAAGCUGGAUCUUUUUUUUUUUUACCAUUGAAUAAAGAAAUAUAAUUUACUAAAAGAGAAAAAAAAUAGUGAAAACAUAGAGUGAUAGGCAGAUCACAGAUAGCAAAAAAAACAUUUAAAAAAAAUGAGGGAAGAGAAAAAAUGGAGUAUUUCAGCCUUAUACAGAUCAGAAAAAAACAGAGUACUGAUAGACAGAUCACAGAUAGCAAAAAACAUUUAAAAAAACGAGGGAAGCAAAAAACGUAUUUCAGCCUUGUACAGGUCAGGGAAAAAACAGCCUUUUGGACCUUAAGUGUACGCGUUUUCCUCGCUGCAUCGCUUCAAGGCAAUAGAGCGAAACCCCUACGCUUUAAGUUCGCUACGUGGCUUAAAGCGAGAAGCGAGCGCUUUUCACAAUGCUGGUAGGAGAGUAAUAAUAACAAUAUUGAAAAGGAAACUACACGGUGUUCGGCCUACUAACCUUCUACUCUAAUCGUCAACCUCCAUAUCUUGAUUACCCUUUAUAUUAUUUGUCAUUACUCAUUUUACAUUUUGGAAGAAUUUGGGCAGCUUUGGAUCCACAUUUUUGUUUCCAACUGGAGCAUUUUUUAGAUCUUACAAAGUAUUCUCCCAUCAUUUCAAUUUAUGUGGCACUUUUUAUUUUUUGAGAGUCAAUUUGACUUAACUUUGAAGCUCAAUUAAAUUAGAUCAACAUCAUGUUUAAAUUAAAAUUUAAAUAAACAAUACAAAAAGUACUUUGUAUUUUAACUUUAACUUAGCGUUGAUAUUUUUUAAGUAUAAACUGUGUAUGAAGAACUAAAUUAAUUCUUGAGGUUCAUUUGAUGAAUUUAUUUUUUUCCCCCUUAAUCUCAUCUAAAACUAAGUUUAGGUCGCCAUAUUUAAUUAGAAUAAACUCUUGUAGCAUUAAAUAUCAUAAGGAGGAAAAAACUAAAUCAAUACAAAAACAAAAUACUAUUUUGAUUUAUAAAAGAAAUUAUAUAAUCACAAAUUCAUAAAAAUGCCAAUUUUUUUUGUUUAUGAUUUUCCCCGAGUUGUAAUUGUUUUACCUAAUUUAUAUCACAUUACUUUAUAGAAUGUUGGAUCACUUGUGUUUCUUUGGCAUUUGAUAUUCUCCUGCCAAACUUCCUUAUAAAUAAUUUCUAGUUUAAAAAUAAUCUAAGUAGGUGACUAAGAAACCUGAAUAAAUUAUAUAGACUUAUGUCACUUAUCCACAGUACAUAUGAUACAUAUUAUAUACGAAGGGGUAGGGCGACGGGGCCUGAUGAGAUCCCUGUGGAUUUUUGGAAGUUUGCUGGAGAGAAUGGUUUAAGGUGGUUGACUGAUUUGUUUAACGGCAUUUUCAAGUCGGCGAAAAUUCCCGACGCAUGGAGGUGGAGCACUAUGAUCCCUCUGUAUAAGAAUAAGGGUGACAUUCAGUGUUGCAACAAUUAUUGGGGUAUUAAGUUACUGAGUCACUAUGAAAAUUUGGGAGAGAGUGGUCAAGUUGAGGUUGAGGAGGAUAGUCUCUAUUUCGGAGAACCAGUUUGGAUUAUGCUCGGGCGCUCGACGACGAGGCAAUUCACCUGGUUCGGAGACUGGUGGAAUAGAACAGGGAAAGAAAGAAGAAUCUGCACAUGGUGUUUAUCGACUUGGAGAAGGCAUACGACAAAGUCUCUAGGGAAGUUCUUUGGAGAUGCUUGGAGGUGAGUGGGGUCCCGAUGGUGUAUAUCAGAGCAAUCAAAGACAUGUAUGAUGGAGCUAAGACCCAGGUGAGGACGGCGGGUCGUGAUUCUGAACAUUUCCCUAUCCUGACAGGGUUACAUCAGGGAUCUACUCUUAGCUCGUUUUUGUUUGCUUUGGUGAUGGAUGUGUUGACGCAGCAUAUUCAAGGCGAGGUGCCCUGGUGUGUGCUUUUUGCAGAUGAUGUGGUUUUGAUUGAUGAGACUCGGGGGNNNNNNNNNNNNNNNNNNNNNNNNNNNNNNNNNNNNNNNNNNNNNNNNNNNNNNNNNNNNNNNNNNNNNNNNNNNNNNNNNNNNNNNNNNNNNNNNNNNNNNNNNNNNNNNNNNNNNNNNNNNNNNNNNNNNNNNNNNNNNNNNNNNNNNNNNNNNNNNNNNNNNNNNNNNNNNNNNNNNNNNNNNNNNNNNNNNNNNNNNNNNNNNNNNNNNNNNNNNNNNNNNNNNNNNNNNNNNNNNNNNNNNNNNNNNNNNNNNNNNNNNNNNNNNNNNNNNNNNNNNNNNNNNNNNNNNNNNNNNNNNNNNNNNNNNNNNNNNNNNNNNNNNNNNNNNNNNNNNNNNNNNNNNNAGUGUUGGCCAGUCAAGAACUCUCACAUUCAGAAAUUGAAGGUGGCGGAAAUACGGAUGUUGCGUUGGAUAUGUGGGCUUACUAGGGGUGAUAGAGUUCGAAAUGAGACUAUCCGAGAAAAGGUUGGAGUGGCUUCGGUGGAGGACAAGAUGCGGGAGGUUCGUUUGAGAUGGUUCGAACACGUGAUGAGGAGGGGCAUGGAGUCACCUGUUCGUAGGUGUGAGAGGCUUGCUUUAGAUGGUUUCAGACGGGGUAGGGAUAGGCCGAAGAAGUACUGGAGAGAGGUGAUUAGGCAGGACAUGGAGCAAUUACGGCUUAUUGAGGACAUGACCCUAGAUAGGAAGAUCUGGAGGACGCGUAUUAGGAUGGAAGGCUAGUGCCAUUUUGGGUAGGUAGGGUAGGGCAUUACUUGGUGGGUGUAGCAUUCUUAUUAUGAUUUCUGGUUGCUUGUAGUAUUACGAUUGUUUACUAGUCUUUACUAGUCUUUGUUUACUAUGUUCCUGUAUGUGGCGUCUCUAUGUUUUGUCUUGUUCCAGGUUUUUUGGUAUGACUUUGAUUACUAUUCCUUGUCUUGAGCCGGGGGUCUAUCGGAAACAGCCUUGCUACUUCCUCGGGAGUAGUGGUAUGGACUGCGUACAUCUUACCCUCCCCAGACCUCACUAUGUGGGAAUACACUGGGUUUGUUGUUGUUGUUGUUGUUGUACUUGAACUUAUCUCUUGAGCACUAAGGCCAAUGCUUUUCCUAUGCUAAAACAGUUUCAAUCCAUGGUUCAAAGGCAGUUUAACAGUAAAGUGAAAAUCAUCAGGUCUGACAAUGCUUUAGAAUUGGGAAAAGGAACUGUUACCUCUGAAUUACUGCUUUCUCAAGGAAUUCUUCAUCAAACAUCAUGCAUUUCUACUCCUCAACAAAAUGGCAUAGUGGAGAGAAAGCACGGGCAUUUUUUAGAAACUUCUAGGGCUUUGUUGUUUCAGUCUAGCCUACCUAUUUCUUAUUGGGGUGAUUGUGUUCUUAUGUCUACUUUUUUAAUCAAUAGAUACCCCUCCAAAGUCCUAAAUGGUAAGACCCCUCAUGAAGUUUUGUUUGGUUAUCCUCCUAAAUAUCAAUUUCUCAAGGCUUUUGGUUGUCUCUGCUAUGCUUCUACUUUAACUCCAAAUAGAUCAAAAUUUUCACCUAGAGCUACUGCCUGUGUGUUUUUGGGAUAUCCACCAGGACAAAGUGGAUAUAAGUUAUUAUCCUUACAAGACAGAAAAUAUUUGUUUCAAGAGAUGUUCACUUCCAUAAAACAGUUUUUCCUUUCAGGAGGACUUCAGGCUAUGCUCUAAUUUUCUCUCAUUCACAUCCUACCUCUCCAGAUUCAUAUACCAUUCCUUCUGGCCCUAAUUUAACACCUAUCUCCACAACUACACAAGAUCCUUCAUCUCCUCCUCCUUCUACCUUUAAUUCUGAUCCUACCUCCUUUAUCCCUGACUCUAUUGUUUCUUUACCUCAACCUAAUACUCUUAAACCCAGAAGAUCAUCCAGAACCCAUAAACAACCUGCUUAUUUAGAUGACUAUUACUAUAACAAUGUGUUUCUCACUGAUCUUACCACUUCUUGCUUCACUUCACCUAUCAGUCCCCAGGUUUUUCCUUUCAUUGCACUUUCUUCUACAAAUCAACUUGUAGUGAAUUCUAUCUCUUCUGUCACUGAGCCCACUACCUAUGCACAAGUUGCAAUGCACCCAGGUUGGCAAGUAGCUAUGAAUGAUGAAAUUGAGGCCUUGAUAUCUAAUCAAACUAGGGAUAUUGUGGAGCUCCUUAAAGGCAAAAGGGCUCUACCCUGCAAAUGCGUGUACAAAGUGAAACAUAGGUCUGAUGGUAGUAUUGAUAGACUCAAAGCAAAACUCGUAGUUCGAGGUGACAUUCAAAGGGCUAGGAUUGACUUUACUGAAACAUUUUCACCAGUAGUCAAAAUGACAACUAUAAGGUGUCUCUUGGCUAUUGGUGCAAAAAGGAAAUGGCCUCUUUUUCAGCUAGAUGUCAGUAAUGCCUUUCUUCAUGGAGACCCUGAUGAAGAGGUCUACAUAAAGUUUCCAGCAGGCAUGGUUUGUCCUAAUCCUAAUCUUGUUUGUCGACUCAAGAAAUCACUCUACGGGUUAAGGCAAGCACCGCGACAAUGGUUUGCUAGACAAUCAGCAGUUCUUCAUUUCAAAGGUUUUCAAUCAUCACAUAAUGAUUACUCACUGUUUUACAAGAAAUUCGGCGAUCUUAUUACUAUCAUUGUUGUAUAUGUCGACGAUAUAAUCAUCACUGGAAGUGAUUUCUCUACUAUUACACGGUUGCAGGAAUUUCUCAAUGCAAAAUUUAAAAUAAAGGAUCUGGGACACUUACACUAUUUUUUGGGACUUUUAAGUUUUCAGAGAAGACAAUGGGUUGAUUGUUACUCAAAAGAUAAUUCACUCUUGAGCUGCUUGCUGAAUUUGAUUACGCUCAAUUGCCUCUAGUCUCUUCUCCAUUGGAUCCAUCAGUUAAGCUCUGAUCUAGCUCCGGAGAACUCCUUACUGACCCAACCAUUUAUCGUCGCCUAAUUGGAAAGCUCAACUACCUUACACAUACUCGCCCUGAUCUUUCUUAUGUUGUCCAACAUCUCUCCCAAUAUAUGCAACAACCCCGUCUUCCCCAUUUCAAUGCUGCUCUUCGAGUUGUUCGUUAUCUACAGUCCGACCCAGGUCAAGGUUUGUUCUUUACUAGUGACCCUUCAUUUUCCCUCCUUGGUUUUUGCAACGCCGAUUGGGGUUCUUGUAUAGAUUCUCGACGUUCAGUCAGCGGGUUCUACAUUACCCUUGGUGGAUCUCCCAUCUCUUGGAAGUCCAAGAAACAAGCAUCCAUUUCUUUAUCCUCUGUUGAGGCAGAAUAUCGCUCCAUGAGGCGUGUGGUUGCCGAACUCACCUGGCUGAAUCGACUCCUUCAUGAUUUAGGUGUCCCUCCAUCUUUUCCCAUUACUGUUCACUCCGACAGCCAAGCGGCAAUCCAUAUAGCCAAAAACCCUAUCUUCCACGAACACACCAAACACGUCGAACUUGACUAUCAUUUUGUUCGACAACAAUUUCUCACCGGAUUAAUCUCCCUUUCUUUGUUCCUGCCGCCUCUUAACUCGCUGACCUUCUCACCAAACCCUUGUCUGGGCCUUCACAUCACUCUUUAAUUGGCAAGUUGGGACUCGUUUCACUCCCCUCCAACUUGAGGGGGUGUUGACAGUAACAGUGGAGAUGUUCAUUGCAGUAACAAAGAACGAGACAAUGAGAAGUUCAUCUCACACAAGGAAAUGGAGCAGGCCAAAGCAAAUAAGGAAAUGGAGCAGGCCAAAGCAAAUAAAAGGAUUGGGCCCAUAUUAGACCAGUCAUUAGUACCAACAACCCACAAGUCCAAAUAUUUAGCUUAGACUAGAAAGUUCUUUUAUUUUAUUUUAGCUUAGAAGAGAAGUUUCUUCUUUUAUUUUUAUUUUCAUUGUUUAGCUUAGAAGAGAAGAUUCUUUAGCUUGUAUAAAUAAACAUGAUUGGCAAGAAAUAUACAGACAAAAAAAAUUCGCAAAUACUGUCUCUUAUUCUCUACACCAUUAUCAAAACAAAACAGCCAAUACCUUCUAAGACUCCAAAUUUUACAGACUACAUUCAAGCUAAGUCACAGGCUAGAAUUUUUAUGAAGACAUCAUAUAAUCCAAUAACCAGCCCCCUUUCAAGUUUUCGUUCACAAUUAGACAAAUCCGAAAGACAAACUUAAAUGAUCAGUGAACCACCAAAAUUAAAUAUAAAGUAAUUAGACGGGACAAAAUUUGCUCCAGUAAUAUCACCAGUUGCAAAUACACAUGAUCUUAAACUCAAAAAAAAUUGUUUUGUUUCACAUUCUUAUACUUUCAAACAAACAGCCAUCAUCCCGAUAAAUAAUUAACAAAAAUUAAGUACAACGUAAUUAAGACGGGGUAGUACCUUGUGCGGGGCAGCGAAACUGGAGCUUUGACGCUUAAGAAUUUCCGACGACAAAAUCGACUCUGAGGACUCCAAAUUUGGACUGGUAUCGAAAGAAAUCUAUCAAUUUUCGAGACCCCCCUUUUUCUCUGUUAUAACUUCUUUAUGUGCCCCUUUUUUUCCGACCUCCUCUACUCCCUUCAUGGGGAUGAGAAUCCGGCUAUUUAUAGCCAAAAUCCGGACUUCAAAGUUCGGAUUUGAGAUAAAGAAUAAGCAAAAAUGCGGGAGAUGAAAGAAACUUGAAAUUCAAAUCCAAAUUUCUGAAGCAGAUCACCGAUUUCAACCUUUUCAGGCCACUUGUGGUAGAUUUGAUGUCAAGGACGAGCUGUUACAUCGUUUUGGGUCCAAUUUUUCUGAGUUUAGCGGGUUUCACGGGACAAGAUGGGGCAGUCCGCGUAGAGGCACAGCUAUGGCUGCCUAUGGCUGCCAUUUUUGUCGAUGAAGAAAGGAAAAGAGGAGAGAAAGUCUUUGUAUUGUUGUUUUUUGUGAGACAGAGAAACGAGUUAGCGAUGGGGAAGGAGAAUGCGUGUAUUGGGAGUGUGAAAAGCCGAAUAAAGGGCUGAUUAUCUUGUCUAUAAUUUGAACCGUCCGAUCAAAAACAUCCCAAAAUAAUAAUAAUAAUAAUAUUUCUAUUUCUUUUCUAUUUUCUUUCUCUAUUAUAUAGAAGAGGUAGUUUCGAUCGC